GGGGGAUAUUGCACAAUGGAGGAAACUCUGAUGCAGCAACGCCGCGUGAGGGAAGAAGGUCUUCGGAUUGUAAACCUUUGUCCUUGGUGACGAAACAAAUGACGGUAGCCAAGGAGGAAGCUCCGGCUAACUACGUGCCAGCAGCCGCGGUAAUACGUAGGGAGCAAGCGUUGUCCGGAUUUACUGGGUGUAAAGGGUGCGUAGGCGGCUCUGCAAGUCAGGCGUGAAAGGCGGAGGCUUAACCUCCGAGCUGCGUUUGAAACUGUGGGGCUUGAGUGAAGUAGAGGUAGGCGGAAUUCCCGGUGUAGCGGUGAAAUGCGUAGAGAUCGGGAGGAACACCAGUGGCGAAGGCGGCCUGCUGGGCUUUAACUGACGCUGAAGCACGAAAGCAUGGGUAGCAAAC
rnacentral:rRNA from 1 species